GGUCAGAAUAGCCCCUUCCCCAGAAAUCAGUACCCCCGAACCGAUGCCUUCAUCCAUGACCAUUCGUCUGCUUUCUAAGCAGACGGUCGAAGGUUCGAAUCCUUCCGCGAUCA
rnacentral:tRNA from 1 species